ensembl:lncRNA
AAUGCUGGGUUGUUUAAUCUACCCAACCGCUGGGUUAUGAAAUGCUUUACCCAUUAUGGGUUAUUUAUAUGGAAUUUGGGUUAUUUUGUGCAACUCAUGCGUUGAGUCAAAAUCCAUCAACCCAAUUUAUAUCGGUUGACCCAGCACGUGAGUUGUUUGUGCUUCGAACCUCAUCAUCACCAGAGUCCACACACCGAGCGCUCGUCACAGCAGAGAACCUGACUGCUCAUGCAGCGAGGCCAAUAAAUAAUAAAAGGUAUGUGUACACUACAUGUCUAAUUCACUUUGUCUGUGUUGCAUUACCAAUUAAAGUAGUAUCUUUAUAUUGUUGAGGCUGGUUGGUUGGUUUGGCUAACAAUGUAGCUAACGUUAGCCAUUACCAUAGAAGCACGGUUAUAAGCCUACAGCUUAUCCGUUUGGUCUGAAUUAUAUUAUAGAAUUAAUUAAACAAGUUCAUAAUGCCAAUGGGCAUAUAGUCAUGUAUAUUGAAUUUGACAGGCUAAUUUGCCAGCUAGUUUCAUGCUAGCCAGGUGAUUUGCCAGUUAGUUCCUUUGCUAGCUAUAUUAUUUUAACUGGCUAUAAACGAACGCGCUUGUUUUUCCUGAAGCUUUUAAUGUGACAUGUGAAGGCAUAACACAGUGUUUGACUGAUUAAAAUAUGUAAAAACAGUGAGAUAAUUUGAUCUGUCUUGUUAUGUGGUGACCCACAAUCGAUAAGAACAAAUUCUUAUUUAAAAUUGGCGGCCUGGCCACUUGAGUGAAGGGUUGAUGUGACACCCCAAAGUAUGUGCACAUUUUGUGUAAAGGUGUUAUACUUUAAGCAAAAGUUUCUUUUUAUUGAUGUGAACUGUAAGAUAUUUGGGACUUGAAAGUAAAUCAGUAAGGUUAGAAUAGUUUGUUGUGGUGAGAAACCAGGACUCUUAUUUUGAAAACUGAAAGGAGGACUCUGAUAUAGGCGCUGUGUGCGCGCCCGCGCCCUUACAUCUGCUGAGCAACUGGUGCGACGUGACACGGAUUUUUCCUGUUAUUUUGCAGAUCAAUUGACAGCUUUGUCAUUAACACUGACAGACCUUGUCGAAAGAUUUAAAGCUUCCAUAGGGCACAUGUCUUUUACUGUGCACGCACACAUGCAUAUCCAGCCUGGAAUAAACAUGGUGGAGUACCUCCAUGAGGCCAAGGCAUGCAAGACAUACCCUCACAUCCUGACGCUGGGAAAUGAUCAGAGUGCAUUUCAGGCCUUCGUCAUAAUAGCUGGACAGGCCCUGGAACUAGAAACACUGCUUUGGGCCAUUGAUGUCUGCUUCAAGGCAUUCUUUGUCUUUGACAUUGAAUACCCAAAGCAGUGUGAACAUGUGUGGGAAUUCAUACAGAAUGUGAUAUAUGAAAUCUAAAAUGGUUAAGUUUAUUCAAACUAGAAUACUUGCUUGCAAGUAGAGAUAAUGGCUCUUAAAAGCAGCAUUAAGGAAUUUGAAUUUGUUCACUAGAGCUGCUGACUGUUGGCCUGUUGAAUGUUCAGCCAGUUCAAUCGAAAUUGUUUUGCUUUGAAUGUUUUCCAACCUGAGUGAACUGCACCAGUUCCACUAUAUUGUCGAUAUUAAUGUAAUAAAUUUUUUCAAAGAUUCCAUUGUUUUGUUCUUGUAUUGUUUAAGUGUUUAUUGCAUAAUAUAUGCAUAAAUCUAGCAUGUAUUCUGUUCUAGGUUUGUAGUUUCACAGUUUUAUAUGGGUAGUCUAUUGCAAUUUAUUUUCUUAAAUUGUAGUGUAAUGUGUUAAGACUUAAUCUGGCAUAUGGGUUAAUUUUACCCAUCUUAAUAUGUAGUUGAAUCAACCCAGAAUUGUAUUUAAUUUGACCCAGAAUUUAGGUACACUAUUUAACAAAUAUGUAGUUAAAUCAACCCAUAAUUGUAUUUAAUUUGACCCAGAAUUUGGGUAGAAUAUUUAACUCAUCUGUUGGGUUAAAAAUGACCAACCCAUCUUGCUGGGUCAAAUUAACUACCGUUGGUCUGGUGCAAUAUUGAUCCAGCGGUUGGGUUAUAAAACAACCCAAGGUGGGUUAUUUUUAACCCAUCAUUUUUCUGUGUGUA